rnacentral:rRNA from 1 species
AUUGAAUUAAAAUCAGAAAUCUCUUGCACCCAAUCUCAUCUGAUCUAGGAAGCUAAGCAGGGCCAGAUGGGUUAAUACUUGGAUGGGAGAAAUCUCAAGUUGGCAGGCCAAUUUCAGUC